rfam:Candidatus Altiarchaeales archaeon WOR_SM1_79 17331, whole genome shotgun sequence.
GGGCCUGUAGGGUAGUCUGGAUAUCCUGUGGGACUUCGGUGGAUGUACGAAAACAUUUUUAUCACCCCUUAAAAAAACUGUUUCUCAGGUACAUCCGUGAGAGAUCCCACGACCUGGGUUCGAAUCCCGGCAGGUCCG